rnacentral:rRNA from 1 species
UUCGGAGGUUAGCGGCGGACGGGUGAGUAACACGUGGGCAACCUGCCUGUAAGACUGGGAUAACUCCGGGAAACCGGAGCUAAUACCGGAUAGUAUCUUGAACCGCAUGGUUCAAGUUGGAAAGACGGUUUCGGCUGUCACUUACAGAUGGGCCCGCGGCGCAUUAGCUAGUUGGUGAGGUAAUGGCUCACCAAGGCAACGAUGCGUAGCCGACCUGAGAGGGUGAUCGGCCACACUGGGACUGAGACACGGCCCAGACUCCUACGGGAGGCAGCAGUAGGGAAUCUUCCGCAAUGGACGAAAGUCUGACGGAGCAACGCCGCGUGAGUGAUGAAGGUUUUCGGAUCGUAAAACUCUGUUGUUAGGGAAGAACAAGUGCGAGAGUAACUGCUCGCACCUUGACGGUACCUAACCAGAAAGCCACGGCUAACUACGUGCCAGCAGCCGCGGUAAUACGUAGGUGGCAAGCGUUGUCCGGAAUUAUUGGGCGUAAAGCGCGCGCAGGCGGUUUCUUAAGUCUGAUGUGAAAGCCCCCGGCUCAACCGGGGAGGGUCAUUGGAAACUGGGAAACUUGAGUGCAGAAGAGGAGAGUGGAAUUCCACGUGUAGCGGUGAAAUGCGUAGAGAUGUGGAGGAACACCAGUGGCGAAGGCGACUCUCUGGUCUGUAACUGACGCUGAGGCGCGAAAGCGUGGGGAGCGAACAGGAUUAGAUACCCUGGUAGUCCACGCCGUAAACGAU